rnacentral:pre_miRNA from 7 species
GCUGCCCCCCUCACUGUGCCUCGGACGGCUGGGGUUCCUGGGGAUGGGAUUUGAUGCCAGUCACAAAUCACAUUGCCAGGGAUUUCCAACUGACCCUGUGCUCUGCCUUGGGGGCUCC